CAGUAGCCGCGGUAAUACGUAGGUGGCAAGCGUUGUCCGGAUUUAUUGGGCGUAAAGCGAGCGCAGGCGGUUUCUUAAGUCUGAUGUGAAAGCCCCCGGCUCAACCGGGGAGGGUCAUUGGAAACUGGGAGACUUGAGUGCAGAAGAGGAGAGUGGAAUUCCAUGUGUAGCGGUGAAAUGCGUAGAUAUAUGGAGGAACACCAGUGGCGAAGGCGGCUCUCUGGUCUGUAACUGACGCUGAGGCUCGAAAGCGUGGGGAGCAAACAGGAUUAGAUACCCCGGUAGUCCCUGUCUCUUAUAU
rnacentral:rRNA from 1 species